rnacentral:tRNA from 2 species
GGUCCGGUAGCUCAGUUGAAUAGAGCAACUGCCUUCUAAGCAGUAGGUCAUUGGUUUGAAUCCAAUCCGGAUCACAA